rnacentral:rRNA from 1 species
AUGGACGACGUCCUUCCCAUCGUCAUCUCGUUCCUGCCGGCGCACGAGGCGGUGCGGACGUGCGUGCUCUCCCCACGCUGGCGCCACUUUUGGACAUCUGCGCCCGGUCUCCGCAUCACCGCCGUCGGGGACUUCGGGAGCGCCGAUAAGUUCAAUCAGUUCGUAGACCGCCUGCUCUUCCUCCGUCGCCACUCAGACUGCCCACUGGAGUCAUGUGAGUUCGAUCUGGACGACAGGGAGUUCGGUUUCAACUCCAUCUCGUCCUUUCAGCAUGUGUAUCGCUGGAGCCUGCAGUCUGCUUUAGACUGCAAUGUCCGGGUCCUUCGGUGCAGUUUCACGGACACCAACCCCAACUUCCGCAUGCUUCCCGAGCAACUAUCUGAAUAUCCAGAGCCUCUACUCUCCCAGCACCUCACUGGGCUAGAGCUCCAUUGCAUCCGCUGCGCUCUUGAUUUCUCGGGCUGUCCAGUGCUAGUGGACCUUAAGAUGGAGCAGUGCGUCACACAUGCUGCUGAAAUGUUGUCUCCAUCCUUGCGACAGCUGAGUAUGGUCUGCUGUGAACUCUCCAUGUGGCAUCGUACUCAAGUAACCUUACCGAAUCUUGUUCGCUUGGAAUUAAUUAAUUGUGCUGGUAGACUUCCAUUACUUGAAAGCUUGCCAUCAUUGGAAACGGCGGUUGUUGAUCUUGGGGAGUUUUCUGAGGAUCGGUGUCCUGUGUCAGGCUGUCUUGAUGAUGAUCCAUGCUUUGGUUGUCAUUUUCAUUUUGAGUUCAUUGCUCAACGCGGAAGUAGCUACUUCUUCCAGGGUUUGUCUCGAGCCAAACACCUAGAGUUGUUAGCUUCCUAUAAUGAUGCGUUCAUUUUUCAAAGAGAUUUGAAGUGCCGCCCGACAUUUCCCAUGUUAAAGACUUUGAUACUCAACGACUGGUGUUUGCAUGCUGACCUCAGUGCUGUGAUUCAUUUUAUCCAACACUCGCCAAAUCUUGAGAAGGUUACUCUUAAAUUUGCUGAGGAAUUUGAUUCUUCAAUGGUGACAGAAGGAGAUAACAGUUUGUUGGAAGGAACAUUUUCAUCUGACCAUCUUAAAAUGGUUGAAAUCAAAUGUUUAAAGGUUGAUGGAAGAAUUAACAAAAUUCUCAAGAUCCUGAGUGCUUGUGGCAUAUCACUGGAAAAAGUCAAUAUCCGACAAGCCAAUACAAGUUCCUGA